rnacentral:lncRNA from 1 species
UAUUAACCUGGUCUCUGGUGAAACUCAGGGGGAUAGUCAAUCCUUGGUUUCUUUCUGCUGUUAUGAAUAUCAUAAUCUUCUGGUCGACGCCUACACAAAUUAGCCUCAAUGAAGCCACAAACUAGUCCAUGCAGCUUGAUUUGAGGAUUUUCUGCCUAUUAUCAGUCCAAAGAACGUUUCUAACCUUCCCACAUCCCGGACUGGUUCUCGACGGGAUGGACGUCCUCGUGAUCGGGGCUGAGAAUGCAUUCUUCUCUUGUGACGCAUUUUAUGAAUGACCUGAUACAAGUCAAUACUUUCAUCGGGGGGAAACAGAAGACAAAGCUGGGUUCCACAUUCAAGUUCAAUUUCCUA